AGAGAAAGUGGGUUCUUACAAUUAAGGAGAUGGUGACAAAUAGAAAAAGUGCCUAUCUAAAAUUCAGGCAUGUUCCACUUUAAAAAGCUAUAAAUUAUGUUGUUUGGAAUUGCUACACACCGAUUAAAAGCCUGUUAUUAUAAAUAAGAAAAAAAAUAACUGGUUACAAUUAAAGCAUACACGGAAAUAGAAAUUGAGAGGCGAGGAGGAAAUGGGGAAAGAAGCAAAGAAAGAGGCAGAAUGGCAAACUCAGCAUCAUUUCUACCAAGUUUAUGGUUAAAUCUAACCAAAAUCCAGAUCAUUACAACGUUUGAAAGCCCGAUUUACACAAAAAAGCCAAAACUACCCACUCUCGAUAAACCUUUUCUUCUUCUUUGCCUCCUUCUUUGCGUUGAAGCCAUUUUCUCUGCCUUUCUCAAUUAUCAAAACCCCUAAACUAUAGCCCAUCAUCGCUCUCUCACUCCUUCAGCAUCUCAGUGCCGUCAUAUACCGCGGUUAUUCUUUGCUUAGGGAUCCCCAUUACAACGAAGGACUUGCUUUCUCUAAGAAAGAGAGGGAUGCCCAUUAUGUGCACAGUCUUCUGCCUCGAAUAAUUUUGUCUCAACAACUUCAGGAGAAGAAAUUGAUGCAGAACAUCUGACAAUAUCAAGUCCCACUGCAAAAGUACAUUGCCUUGAUGGAGCUUCAAGUAGGACUUAGGAGUUUCACUGUCGUUUCUCAAUGUUGAUGAGCUUGAGCUUUUACAAGAGUAUGUUGAUCGUGAUAUUCAUAUUAAAGCUAAUAAGGACAAUGUAAUCAUUACUAUCAUGUAAGCUUCUUGAGGAUCAAUAACUAUAUUCUCUUAAACCCACAACCUUCAGAAAAACCUUGAACCAAAUCUGCUUUAGUUAUAACUUAUAAGAUUUCAAUUAUCAUUUUUUCUAAA